rnacentral:tRNA from 1 species
UAGGUUGUAGCUUAAUUUAAAGCAGUCCACUUACAAUGGGAGGAUCACUAGAUAUAGUGCUGGCUAA